CUGAGCCUGGUUAUAAAUAGCCCAUUGGUUUUCCAUCGGCUUAAUGAGCCGUUUUGCAUCAGCUCAGUGGUCACUGCGGGGGCCUUUAGCCUCGCUCAGGUUUCCAGUGCUCAAGCCUGUUGCCUAAAAUCGGCCUCUAGAGUCAUUAUCACCUUGGCACCAGCAAACCCUGACAUGGCCACCAUUUUGGCCUGUCUUGUUACUUUGCCGGACAGGGUGCACUGUUUGGUGUACAACUUGUUUCCUUUCCAGGGAGAUCCGCUUUAUCAUUUAAUCUCUUUCUGGAUCAGCGUAAUCAUUAGGCCAAUGUAGGGCAUGAUUGUUUGCGUCUGUUUGUGUUAAAUACUGAUAUGCACACAGCACCAUCAUUGCCCCUCAUAGUUGGAUUUCCCAAGACGAAUCUUCUUUGUUUAUAGACCUCACUAUAACAUAUGGAGUCCUUAAUGAUACCGGGCACACGUGUAAGUAUGUGGCCCCAACCUGAGCAAUCUAGGGGUCUCAUCCCAAUUACCCUCCAUAAUGGCCGGACUGUCUCUCUCAUUGGCUGGGCUGUGACUGUCUCUCUCAUUGGCUGGGUUGUUGCUGGAAGAAAUGGAAACCUUCCUUCCUUCUGUUGGCAUGGUAAAGUGGUAGCUAACGUUAGUGCCGAUUUGCACUGUUCAUUUCUUCCUCUUCGGUCUGCAUUCCCUUUAUGAAUUUUCACACUAUUAGUUUUUUUUGUAAAUCCUGUACCCAAUGUGGGGCUUGAACUCACAGCCCCAAGAGCAAGAGUGGCAUGCUCUACUUACUGAGCCACCAGACAACCAAUGUUUGUUUUAUUUUUUAAGAAAAACAAUCACACACAUAAUAACCUGUUUGGAAAAGCCCCUUCCCUGUACGCCUUUGUUUCCUGACUGUAGAACAGAGCGUGCAGUGCAUCGCUGUCUGUAAAGUGGUCUCCUUGCUCCAGAGCUGAUCAGCCGCUGUGAUGUAACCUGAGGUGUGUUCAGUGUCCCAGUGUCGAAGAAUGUUUCUGGAAAAUGGAAUUCAGGGCAUGAAGGGAAGAGCUAGUCCCUGGAGCUUGGGGAGGUAUGGAUGAACACCGCAUGUAUUGAUGGAAUUUGUGCUGGGCCAUUAAGUAUUUAUCAAUGGAUACACAUGUGACUUGUUUUCAAGACAUGGGGCCUCACCAGCCUUUGUUCAUAUCUUCAGAUGCAAAAUGACGAGGUGAAGUUGUACACUGAGUCCAGAGCAAGUCACAGAAUUGCAGUGAGGACUCACCAGCUCCGUCAAGUUCAGGCUUGGCCCAGGUGCCUCUGGACACAGCCUUUGAAUCGCUUCUCGGCCUUUUGGCCAAGAUCAAGUGUGGACACAGCCUUUGCCUGGGCAUCCGCUCAGCUGCUGGAUUAACAGAAGUUGGAUUCAGAGCAUAUGGGAUCUCUUUUCUUUGAUCCAGUCCAAGAGGAUUGAGUUACUUAGCCCCUCGGAGAAGCUUGGGGAAACAUGGCCCCACCAGGAUGUGGGGGAGCACACGGCCCUGUGAGGCCCGGUCUUGUAGACGGUCCAGUAGAGCUGGGGAUGCAUAUUAAUGAGGAGAGGGGACAGGAAGGUUUCCGAAGCCACUGGGGAAGGAGUCCGCUGUCUAAACCUCCCCGGUGCCUCAGAAAUGAGGUUCGGGGCCAAGGCGCCAGGCAGGCGCAGUGGUUCUGCGGGUCCGGCAUUUGCUGACUUGGUCUGUAAUACCCAAGAUUUCUUUAUCGUCCCCCAAAACCAGAGACCACCAGGGAGACCGAGUCACGCUUGCAAAAGCGAAGGGCGUUAGCCGGGGCCUAACCUCGGGCUCACAGACUUUACCGGCGCGGUGGAUCCGUGCUGACAGCCCCGAACAAAGCGGGGCAGGGCCUUUAU